rnacentral:lncRNA from 1 species
CGGAAAAGUUAGGGCUUACAGAUUAACUCUGUCAUGAGAAAGCAUUUCAUUUCUUGUAGAAUACUUCCCAUCAACCAGAUCAUUACAAAAAUUAGCAUAAAAUUUCACCUAUUUAAGAAUCAGGCAGUGCAAACUACACAAUACUAAAUAUGAACUUCAGUUUAGCGGCGGUGGUUGUUGUUGUUGUUGUUUUAUAAAUAUCACCAGACACACAUCUGCGGUUUUAGUGCUUGCCACAGUGCAGUUUUCUGGUUGACAUAUAUCUAAGAAAUGUGCGUAUUAACACCCAGGCUCUAGAGCCAAGCACAUUUUAGUGCCGGCUACAGCUGAAAGAAUAUGUUUCCAUUCCUUGUCCAUCUGUUCUCAGCAACAUAAAUUUAAGCUUAGAAACACAGAAUAAGUUUCAUGAGAAAUAAGUCUAAAUAUGGCUUAGAAAAGCAAGGUGAAUGCUUUAAGUUAUUAUGACUUGUUAACAUUUCAUUUGGUAGCUAGAUGGUUGUGUUUAUAUGAAGAAAACUAACACUGCAGCUAGACCUUAAAGUUUAAAAAAUAAUAGUUUUUUAAAAUGAGUUCACUUGAAAAAAUGCAGUGGCUUGGUCACACUUUCUCUUUUCAGGGCUUUAAUUUACUACAGAUCAUGGGCCUAACAAACUUUGAGAUUUCAAAGUGCAGUUCACCACACACUUGAACUACCCUGAAAAUAUAUCAUUUAACCUCUCUGAGCUUCAUGCUAAAAUGGAUUCAUUAGUGGAAAAUGAGGGUUUUCUAUACAAAAUGAAGUACAUAACAACACGCAUAUGCUUGUUUUCCCUGGAGGCGUCUCUCAGCUAUAACCAGCUAUUACAUGGGAUCAUGUACAACGAUCAUACCCACCCUGUGCCGCUACAUACCACCUCUCUAGCCUACUUACUUACUUAUUUAUUAUUUAUUUAAUAAACCAGCUUCAUUCACUUUAUUUUCCUCAUAUGCAACUAUGUGGUGACCACAACUGGAGCCUGGGUCUGGUGCACAGACACACUGGCGUGGGUCUUUACAAGAAGGCCAGUGAAUUCCUGACAAGGAGACUUGGUGAGCACUGUCUUUCCCCAGAGAUAAGGAGUGAGAUAACUGUAAGUCUUGGAAAUAGCAUCAAAGGUGGCCUUGGUGAAGUUGCCCAGGGUGGCAAGGCAGUCCCUGACAGAGGUGGACAGAGGUGUUGCAGUCGUCAGUUCUGGCCAUCACCAGUAGCUUCUUGAGCACAGGGGCUAUGAUGAUGCCAGUGCCCCUGGGGGCAGGGAUGAGGUGCACCAGUCCUGAGCCACAGCAGCCAAUCACUUUGCAAGGGGCCACAGGGGGCUUGCUGAUCUUGUUCGCCCAGUAGCCUCACUGCAGGGGAACAAUGUAGAGCUUGGCCAGAAUGAUGGCUCCACGUAUAGCAGUGGCUGUCAUCUUAGAGCACUUGACACUGAAACUGACACAUCCAUUAUAGUCCCUAGUGGUGACAAGUGCCUUGAACCUGGUCCAUUGACCAGCACAGGUCUGCUUUUGCAAAGGCAUGAUCUUCAAAACCUGCCCUUGAGGGAUGCCCCUGGAAAAAGGCAGUGAUCUUAGAUUCUUUGAUGGGCAGAGAUAAGAGAUCUCCUCCAGGGACUUCAUGUCUUUGACCAGGCCACCCAGCUAGGUGAGAAGAAGCCACUCCUUGUCCUCCACCUUCCCUCCACAGCCUCAGUCCCAGCUCGGCCCUGGCCUAACCAUGGCUGAGACCCCUGCCCCUGACGCCACUGCCAAACCCCCUCUGUGCUUCUCAUUUCAGGGCCCCAAACCUCCACCUCCCCACCGCCCCUCUGCAGCACCUCAUCAUCAGCCAUAUGGUGUUGUCACAGAGAGGAGCUCUAGCCUACCUGUAAAAAGUGUUUAGUAGUAAAUACUUUAAAAAUAUCAAGUAAUUUAUUUACAUUUGAAAAUACAUGAAUUACAUGAAAGUAUCACUACAGAAAGGGACCAUACAUGUGCACCUAAAAUUUUACCUUCAAAGCAAGAGUUCAGGUAUUUAAGCUUCAAGACUGUGCUCCAAGACUGGGUCCUGUAGAAUUUUCUGAUGUGAGGGCGUCCUCUGCUUUCAAGCCACAUGAAAAUCUUCAGUUCGGAGAGGGACCUUGCGGCUCACACAUACCACUCUUGCUCCCUAUACAAGAAAUGCUUCUGUAAUUUUGUUUUAAAUAUCUCUUUUUGCUGUGGUUGAUUUAUCAAAUAUAGCAUGUAGUUAUGCCUCAGAGUAGUUGGAUUCAAAUUUUGGCUCUGUCACUUCCUAUAUAUGUGAAUAGGGAUAGAUUAGUUAACUUCUCCAUUUUUCAGCUCUGUAAAUUCUAAUAAUUAUUUUUGUCUUAAAUUGGCUGGGGGUGGGGAGCUGGGUAGCAAAGGAGGUGAUAUAGAGAAUGAAUAGUCCAGUGACAGAUACUGAGGAAACACCCAGCAAGCAAUACCUAAAACUGUUAGCCUCUUUUUACUGUCUUCUGUUAAAAAAUAUAAUGACUGUAAUGUGCUAAUUAGCCUAAUCUACUCUCAGGUGGACUUUGGUAACAUAUUCCUUAUCAUCAGAAAAGCAUUUCUGGAAACUAAUAUGGUUUCUCGAACUUCACAGAUUUACCUAUGACUGUGGACAAGUCACUCCGUGAUUCGGGGAUUCAAGUCUUCUGAUCUUUAAAAUGAGAAAUUUAAAUCUGUAACCUCUAAGGUCUUUGUCCAAGUAAUUUAAAAAAAUCAUGUUUGACAGCAUAUCCUCAUACUUUAUUUAUAGUACUGAAGUGUGUAUUUGCUGCCAAAUGUCUGAUGUGGGGGUGUAUAAAUGUUCCAUAUAUACUUGUGGAAUAGCAUCACAUUUGUGGAUGAUAAAAACUACUGGUAUAUUUUUUGGCAUUUUUUGGCUAAGAAUCCAUUCUUCCCAUUUGAUUUUAGAAAAAGCUGACAACACAUCUUUUCCCAGAGCACCUCAAGGUUUAGUCAAACUGAGUGUGUCGGAAAUAGGCCACCUUUUGUUACUUUUAAUAGAGAAUCCUAGUCAGAGAAACUUUCUCUGCGAAGUAACUUUUAUUUUUCAUUUCCAUAAUUUUAGGCUGUGCAGUAGGCAUAUGCACUGGAACUGACAAGGCUUCUGUUUUCUUUCAGAUCUGAGUGAUCAGCUGCUGGAGGUGGUUGGCUUGGAAGGAGCCAUGGAGAUGGGGCAAAUAUACACAGGCUUGAAAAGUGCUGGGCGGCGGCUGGCUCAGUGCUCCUCUGUGGUUAUCAGGUAGCUCCCUUCUCUAUAGUGAGAAAGAGAUUGACAUGGCAUAACUACGAAUUAUUUAAAAUUAUAGCAGACUCUGAUAAUAAUGUUUGUUUUAUCUGUACGUCAUUAUCAAUUUCUUUUUUUAAUGAUUUUUAUUUUUUUCCUUAUAGUUGGUUUACAGUGUUCUGUCAAUUUCUACUGCACAGAAAAGUGACCCAGUUACACAUAUGUAUACAUUCUUUUUCUCACAUUAUUCUCCAUCAUGUUCCUUCAUAAGUGACUAGAUAUAGUUCCCUGUGCUAUACAGAAGGAUCUCAUUGCUUAUCCACUCCACAUGCAGUAGUUUGCAUCUCCUAACCCCAGAACAAAUAAUGGAAAUUGGCAGAAUUUACAAAGUUUUCAUUCACUGUUACUUGCAAGUUCACUGGAAUUUGAUUCUUUUUUGUUGAGACCAUGCAUGCAAUUCUAACAUACAAAUUUUUCCCCCUCUAAUCUAGUUCACACUCAGUUUAGUUUACAGAGGGAAGUAUCUACCAGGCCAAAUACCCAAUGAAAACACUGUUGAAGGACCAUUAACUUAUAUUUUUUCAUGAACUAAAGUCCACCACUGUUUCUAGAAAAGUAAAUAAUGACUUAUUAUAAAGUAAGAUUUUAUAUGUGUAUUAUAUUUAAAUUUGUUUAAAAAACAGUAUUCACAAAUUUACCUACAGAUAAAAUAGAUCUAUUUUGACCUUAAAAUGAAACCACAGGCUACAGCACAGAUAUGAUUGGUGUUAUUUAUAUGUACGAAAGUGUUGAUGCUAGAAAAUCUGCGACGUCAAACACUUUUCUCCAGGUUUGCAAUGUGGGUUUGCAUGAAAUCAAGGAGGCCCUUUUGACUAUAGGAAUUCUGAUCGUGUCAUUAGGCAUAAAGCCAGCAUUUGUUUUUUGGCAUCCAGGAUUUUUUAUCACCACAUUUACCAGGAAGCUCUUAACGGUCCUGUAAUUAAGGUACCUUUCAGGUAUUCAUUAAUAGUGAAGAGUUCAAGUUCCUUUUCAGAAGAUAUAAUUUUAGAACAGAGCCUAGCUAUUACCAUAUAUGCAUUCCCUGGUCUCAUCAUCUUAUAUGGGACUUACAGCCUGUUGUAUAAAGCUGUGUUAAACUUUGAAAUAUUUUUCCCCAGGACUAGCAAGUCUCUGCCAAUGCAGAUCGAUGGGGAACCGUGGAUGCAGACCCCAUGCACAAUAAAAAUUAUACACAAGAAUCAAGCCCCAAUGCUGAUGGGCCCUCCUCCAAAAACGGGGUUGUUCUGCUCUCUCGUCAAAAGAACAAGAAACCGAAGCAAGGAAUAAUCCUGUAUCAUUUCAUUCUUAGAGAUCUAAUUAGCAUAAUUGGGCCAUGGAACACUUAUGCUGGAAAUCUUUCAACUAUUUCAAGUCUUCUGCUCAUGCAAAAUCAUGGAAUUGGUUUAACAGUUUUUGUUACCAAGCUAAUGUAAAAUCCAGCUAUAAGAAAAUUUAUUGUCUCAGUCUUCAAUAGGCAUCUCUGCAUGAAGAAAGCAGAAGUUUACAUGAAGUGAUACUGCAUAUUUUUGUUGCAUGCAUUCCCAUAGAUUUUUAUGUUCCCUACCCAUUAUUUCCCCAACUUACAUUUACUAACCUGUAAGAAAAAUCUGUACAACAUAAAAAAAAGGAAAUACCAUGGGAAAUGUGAUUCCCAUUAUUAAUAAGCACUAAUUAAUAAUGCUACAAUGAUCAUAAAUACGGAUUGCUACACUUUUCCCACUUAGAAUCGAACAAUAUAUCAAUGAUCUCUGACCUUUGACUUGAGGAGAAACUUGUAAUUGAAAGAUUUUAUUAAAUAGUUGUCUACUUGCUGUAUCUAAAUAGUUUUUCUUCAACAUCUUAAUGCUUCUGAGUGGAAUUUAAAAUAUCAGGUAUAAAGUUUCUUGUGAUAAAAAAUAGGAAGUGGUUUUUAUUUUGUUUAGUUCUGUUUUUAAUUCCAGACAUAAGUGAAAACAUGUUACUUGGCAGCAAAGUGUGUUAAUAUGGCAAGCCUUAUUCCUUCCUGCAUGUGAAUCUAGAAAAAAAUUCUUAAUCACAACAGUAACCAAAUAGAUGUUUGAAACUAUGUGCCUAACAAACUGUGUUUCCCACCAAAGAUUCAGAAAAAAAAAAAAAAAAAGAUGCUUGAGAGAAAUGGGCUAAUGCGUAAUUAAGUAAGCAUUGUGGAGAAAAUUUAUGGUUUUCAUGAUUAAUUUGGGGAAUGACUAAAACUCUGGAAGAGAAUGAAUUACACAUUAACCAUAAUUAAAAUUCCCACCUUUCGCAGACAAUAAGCCAUACAACACAAUCCAAGCUCAAUAGCUGAUUUCUUCCUUUUUUGGUUAUUAAUAAAUAUGUGUGUGAUUUUUAACAGAUCAGUUAAAUACACUUGAGAAAGUAAAUGAUUGUAUCAGUUCCGUUCUAGUAUAAAUUGAUACCUGUAAUAAUAUGGAGCGCACUGAAGCCAAUCAUGCAUGUAAUUAGUGCCCUCUCCCUCACCUACUCCACUACCCACUCUGUGACAUUUCAAAUAUUUAUUUGGAAAUAAUGGCCUGGAUUGUUAAGUUUUUCAUGACAUAAUUAGUUUCUCUGAUUGUUUGAAGAAAUCAUUGAAUAGUAUUUUUUAAAUGUUUCAUUAAGCCUAUGAUGUGAAAUGAAAUGCUAUUCUGGGCAGUCUUGAUAUUGUUCAUUCAUAAUGACCUGCAUCUCAUCAUUGCAUGUUUUAUGUUUUCAGACAUGCCAUAAGGAAAACGAGUGCUUGAAAUGCAUGAUUUAUUAGUUUAUCUCUCCACUCUGCAUUAAACUACUCAUGAUUUAUCAGUUCUAUUUUUCUAUUGAUUCAUUUAUCUUUGAAUAACAAAUAGCAUUUAGUGAUUCUGUUGAACAUAAUCCUGUGCAUGGAUUUAUGGAUUUCCAGUGAAGUCGCUAUAAUUUUAGUUCUUUGAUUUGUAAACUCAGCUCACUGUGGUUAUAUCAAAUAGCUACUCUCAAGCAGUGUGCUAUAAUGGAAGAUUAUGUAUAAAGCGUAUUUUUUUAGUGUUCCAGGAACAUCGGAUGGUAAAUAUCAAUCAACAAUAAGUUUAAUUGCUUUGAAAAUAAAAGCUUUUGAAUAAAUUAGGACAUAAUUUAGCAUUCUCGGGAAAAUUAUCAUUACAAUUGCAAAUGUAGCACAGCAAUCACUUGCCCCAGUAUAAUAAAGAAGUUAUUUGGCAGAGCAGUAAUCUAGACCAAAAGAAAUCUCAAGGUAGUAACAACUGCAUUACUGACAUAAUGUUACAUAACACACACAUUGAUUUUGUGUAUCUAUGGUUACAGGUAAUAAAUAUUUUUACAUAAAUUGACAAAAUUUUCUAUGAUGGGCAGGCAGGCUUUGUGUCAAAAACAUAUUCUGAAGCCACAAAUUAUUUUGUGCUCAUUACAACAUACAAUUAUUUCUUGGCUAGCUUUUAUGGUAUAUAGUUUGAAGGCAGCAACAGUUUGUGAAUCAAUCUGUGCAGUGAAAAGCUGUUGAAUAGACAGUGAGAUGAGAGAAAUCAAACAACCUGCCUAUAAGACUUCAGUAAUUGAGAUAAUGGGAUGUAGCUUUACUUCAGUGUAGCGAUAUAGCGAUAAUUAGUGAUAAUCGUAGUUAGAUUUUCAGUUAGUAGGAUUCACUGGUACCAAUAAUAAAUGUUCAAAUAGGAAUCAAAUUCUACUUUCCCCCACUCAUUUUCUAAAGAUACUGACUAGUUUGCCCUUCAAGUACACUACCCUUGGGACUUGGAAAGUAGUUUUAAAAACUUCCUUUGAUGGUUUUGAUAUCAGAGAAGGUAUUCACCCCAUUUUAAUGACAGCUACAAGUGAAAAAAAUAUAUUUUAAGAAAAAUUUCAAACUGAAAGCUCUAUGGUAGAUAGAAAUAUUAAAUACCAAAUGUUAGCUUUGUAAUCUGGAAACUCUUCUUAUGUGUGUAUGGGGAGUGUUUGUGUUCUGGAGCAACCUCUUUUCAGUAUAGUUGCAUAAAGGUUUAAGUGGAUGAAGCUCUUAGGUAAAAAUUAAACUGAGAUUGUAAGGGUCAGAGGUAAAGGGGAAAAGAGAUAGCACUUUGCUAAACAUUGUCAUACACUGAGUGGAUAAAUAGAGAUAGAUUCCAAAGGAAACCUGGAUAACCGUGCUUCUAACAGAAGAGGAGAUGUGUGUGAAGAACCAAGAAUUUUAAAGGUCAUAACCACUUACAUGCAUAUACCAUGUGUCUCUGAUGCUAAGAGUGCUGGUCAGUUUAUUGUGGAAGAAGAACAUAUUUUGUAGAAAAUGAAGAAAAUAGAAUUUUUAAGCAGUUUUCUUUUUUAAAGAUUAUGUGAUUAUAGCCAGGAUAAAGCAAAAUACUCAGAUAUUUAGUGUAUUCUACUGUAGGGGAAAAUUUAUAUCCAAUGAGAAUAAAUGAAUGGCAUAUAUACUUUUGCAUUUUGUUCUUUUUUCCUCAUUUCAGGGGAUGGGAAGCAAUUGCAGUUUUCAAGGAAGAAUCUUUUUUGAAUCUCAGACUGCAUUCUAUUUGAAUGAGACAAAACUUUUAAAUGGCCACAUUCCUUUUUUGUGUCAGGUAAUUCACUUUUAAUUGGUAAUAAAAAGGAAAAUGUACCUUUCUUGACACAUAUAACCCCCAAAGAGCUAUUCAAAUACAGUAUAUAUACUCUAAAUUAAAAUAUUAAGCUCUUGUAAUAUAUAUUGAGAAUGUAAAAUUUAAAUAAACUAAUAAAAACUUGCAAAGGAGCUUUUAUUUUGUGAAAUGUAGAAAUUACCCCUUCAAUCUCUUACUUUAAGUGUAUUCUGUUUAAAUAAAAUUUGAAUAA